rnacentral:rRNA from 1 species
AGCGAACGCUGGCGGCAGGCUUAACACAUGCAAGUCGAGCGGGCUUUUCCGGAUUUCAUCGGCAGACGGGCGUGUAACUCGUGGGAAUGUCCUUUUCUCUUCGGCACCACUCUGUGAAACUUGAUCUUAUAUCGUAUACGCUCUCAUGCGCAAAGUUUUACUGCCGCAGGAUCGGCCCGCUUCUGAUUCUCGUGUUGGUGGGGUAACGUCCUACCAACGCGACCAUCAGUAUAUUGUCUGAGAGGAUGAUCAGCCACACUGGGAAUGAGACACGGCCCAGACUCCUACGGGAGGCAGCAGUGGGGAAGAUUGGACAAGAGGCGCAAGCAUGAGCCAGCAAUGCCGCGGGAGUGAUGAAGGCGAUAGGGGGGUAAAGCUCUUGUAUCAGGGACGAUAAGGAAGGUACCGGAAGAAUAAGACCAGGAUAACUUAGUG